AACGAACGCUGGCGGCAGGCUUAACACAUGCAAGUCGAGCGCCCCGCAAGGGGAGCGGCAGACGGGUGAGUAACGCGUGGGAAUCUACCCUGAUCUGCGGAAUAGCUCCGGGAAACUGGAAUUAAUACCGCAUGUGCCCUGAGGGGCAAAGAUUUAUCGGUUCAGGAUGAGCCCGCGUCCGAUUAGCUAGUUGGUGGGGUAAUGGCCUACCAAGGCGACGAUCGGUAGCUGGUCUAAGAGGAUGAUCAGCCACAUUGGGACUGAGACACGGCCCAAACUCCUACGGGAGGCAGCAGUGGGGAAUAUUGGACAAUGGGCGCAAGCCUGAUCCAGCCAUGCCGCGUGAGUGAUGAAGGCCCUAGGGUUGUAAAGCUCUUCCAGUGGGGACGAUAAUGACGGUACCCACAGAAGAAGCCCCGGCUAACUUCGUGCCAGCCGCCGCCGUAA
rnacentral:rRNA from 1 species